rnacentral:misc_RNA from 1 species
UCCGGCUUAUCACCGGCGGUUUCUUUAGAGUGCCCAACUAAAUGAUGGCAACUAAAGACGAGGGUUGCGCUCGUUGCGGGACUUAACCCAACAUUUCACAACACGAGCUGACGACAGCCAUGCACCACCUGUGUAGCACCCUCGAAGGCGUCCACUUUUGGGUGGCUUGCAGCUACAUGUCAAGCCCUGGUAAGGUUCUUCGCGUUGCAUCGAAUUAAGCCACAUGCUCCACCGCUUGUGCGGGCCCCCGCCAAUUCCUUUGAGUUUCAACCUUGCGGCCGUAGUCCCCAGGCGGUUCACUUAAUGCGUUAGCUGCGGCACCGAGGGAAACCCCCGACACCUAGUGAACAUCGUUUAUGGCUAUGACUAC